CUGUGCCUCACAAUGCCGGGGCACCUCGGGCUGCACCUCCGCUGUCCUCCCCGGCCGAGGAAGGGGACGUGUGAGUGGCUCCAGGUGUCAACUGAGCAAACUCAGGAUCAGCUGCAGCUCUUCCAGAGUGCGUGUCCACGUGCAGAAUAUUCCGGAACAGGUUCCUGCUGGAGGAACUCGUGUCGCCCGCCCCGUCACAGCAGAUCCCACCCGCUGCAGCGGACACUGCGUGUGCUGUUGGUGCAUCAGAAAGGAGGAAUAACAGCUUUCAAGGGACUGUAACAUUUAAUAAAAGCAUCUUAUUACAUUUAAACGUAUUAAAA
rnacentral:lncRNA from 1 species